GGGGGUGAUCGGUUUCGACGACGGUCGUCGUUCCAGGAGAAGCGGGUCGAGGAUGCAAGGUCAUCUCGUCAACGCUCCUUGCAAACCAAUAGGUGCCGAUUCCAAGCGCACCGACUUCGCCCUCGCCGCCUGAGCGAGCGCAGAAGUCCGUCAGCCCGGGCUAGCUCUCGACCCGGUUCCUGGCGUCAUCCAGAGAGCCACUGCACGUAGUCCGGGUCACUUGGGCUGCGUGAACACCUAAGGUGACUGAGCCCGUCAGCGACUUGUCCGCGUGAUCGCUGGGGCCGAGAAACUCUGCUAGCGGACUGCACCCGGAGAAGUCCUGGUUCCACUCCGUCGGACGCGGGUUCGAUUCCCGCCACCUCCACC
rnacentral:tmRNA from 1 species